ACUAACAGCCACGCCAAGUGGUGCAAUUUAGACAAUUCCUCCUUCUCUCUGCAGUCAAUUCCCUAAACCUCCUCUUGAAUGCGUCCGAUCAUUUACAUCCGACCCCUAAUAAGAAUGAUAAGAAGUAAUGGAAAAAGAUGCUUUAUAUUUGGUUCCACAAAAAACGAUGGAAGGGCGAUGGGUCUCGCAGCGGAUGUGCAGCGAGCUAGGGCUACAACAAUUCACUUUUCUACUCAUGAGAACCCCGAUUGAACAUCUUCUAUGUUUGAUGGCAGGUAGGGUUCGGAGUACCCGAUUCAUAUUGAUACACUAUUCACGAUUUCUUCCUGAGAUUUGUACUACAUUUAAUAUGGAUAGAAGAUAACUUCUUAUGAAUACAGGUGCUUGAUGAGAUUGGUGUAGGCAUCGCUUCACAGGUGAGUUUUGUAUAUGACUUGUUAUGUAUUCUUGGAAAUAGAGAUUUGUGGUAAGUUUGGUUAAGUUUUGUAAAAUGCUGGCAACCGCGAACCGGUCGAUAUUGGUGGUUGAGGACAUUGAUUGCUCCGCGGAGUUGCACGAUCGAGCGGGUGCGAAUGCGGUUACUGGAAAUCGCCCGUGAGGAUAUAGUCAACAGCAGAUGGUACGUACGAUCGCUUUUUCUGUUUUAUGACAGUAAUAAUAGUAAUAUUAUUUCUGAUUAACUGAUGAUUAUUGUACAUCGUGCGCCUUAUGUGACACAAGGCGAUGGGGUUUGGGCCUAGAUGCGCUUUGCGCUUAAGCACGCCUUUUUAAACCAAGGUAGCAACAAAACUUGACAUGAAAGUAAUGUUUUUUACCCGUAAGCUUUUGGAUUUUUUGCCAUUUGUUUAUUUAUUUAUUUUAUAUUUUUUUCUUUGAUGUCUUAUUUAGAUUUGAACUGAUUGUGUGAUCUCUUAUUCUUGUGAUAUUUUAUAGAAGAAUUGAGGAAAUGGUUUCUUUCAAUGGAAAGUACUCUCUUUAGCUACUGGUUUCUUGUGAUAUUUUAGAGAAGAUUUGAACUGUAGGAGUUGUUAACUAGGCUUGAUCCACCGCAACGCGCAGGGUCGCCAACCCGGUUUAGCGCACACAUAUAUUUUGUAUUUUUCAGGCCAGUAAGAGUUGCAAAGUGAAGUUGUCACUUGGGUACCAGGGGUUGCCAAAGCGGACCAGCGGUAACAUGGUAGCUCUGUCCAGUAAGAGUUGAAAAGUGAAGUUAUCACUUGGGUACCAGGGGUCGCCAACCCGGUUUCUGUUUAAUAUACCAUGUUACAGAUCAAAGUUAUCAUUAAAGCAUUGACCCUUUAUUCGGUUGAGAAAAUUAAACCAUUUACAUAUAUACAGGUCGACUUGGGUUGAGUUUUAUCUCUAUCGGGUCAAAUCAGUUGAGCAAUAAAAUUUGGCCAGAAAGAAAUAGAAUCUACCCAACGGGUCAAAAGGGUUGAAAGUCAUUUGACAUGUUUUAAUAGCAUACACUUCCUAAGUUGUUUUCACAAGCUUACGCUUCUUUAUUCUGUUAUAUCAAAUGGGUCGAACCACCAUUCGAAUGAGUGUUUAAUGGGUAACUGGCAUCGUGUUGAUUUGGGUGUGUGUUUGUCUCAAAUGAGUCAAAUUUGGUUGAAAACCACUCAAAGUGCAUCUUUAACGCAUAUGGUCUUCCCUAAUUGGUUUAAAAAAUUCCUUGGCUGUAACUUCUAAGUGAAAGGUACGUGACUUUUUUUCCUUCCCACUUGCUUUUUUUAAGUCUUUACACCACUAAAAAAGGUUUACACCAAUUUGCUCUUACACCAUGAGUGAAAAAGACUUAAACUAACGUAACGCCAAAAUGGUUAGAAUUAAUGUGAUGGGGUACGUGAUGUAAGGCCAAAUUAGUCAGAAUUAUGACUGAAAAUGUCAAUUGUUUAUGCAGGAAUUGGACCCCAUGUUUUCAGGAACACGCGAAUACAAAUUGCUCGCGGAUUUGGCUGCUGCUAUGGACGAAGAAGAUGUUGCAAAGUUCACUGAUGCUGUCAAGGAGUUUGACAGCAUGACUAAACUGAUAUACAACGUGUAUUUCGUUCUGGGUACGGGGUGGUUAAGCGGCUAUGGUUAAGUCACCAAGAUGGACCAUCUUGCAGCUCCUCUAGCCCCAACUACCUAUAUUUGGAAGGAGUAUUGGUACUUGAGAUAUGGAACCUCACACGCCUGUGUCUGCUACACACUUUAUCUUUUUUCGAGUUCGGUAAUUUCACUUUCUGUUUACAUUUUUAUUUUGUGGUUUCUUUUUAUAACACAACUUGCUAUAAUGAUUUAGGACCUCUUGUGGUUUCCUUUGUGUUAUUUCAUUUCAUGGUGGGGGUGAGUUGUUUUCCUUUAUAGUCUGAGAAUUGGGCUUGCAAUGAGUCUUAUAUUUCUUGGAACAAUGACGCAUGGGUGAAAGGACUUUGAAGGUUUCCAAAAACAACUAAAUUUUAUUCAUUACUUUUGAAUUAUAUGCGAUUAUUUGUGCUUUAAAAGAGUGUUUUUAUUUAUUCAUGUUGGAUUACUACCUUUGAAUUGUAUCUUACAAAUCUUUACGUAUACAAGCAAUAUUUAUAACACUGGCUCCAUUUUUAUCGGUGUAAAUUGUCGAUUCCGCCGCAACGCGCGGGUU